CCCGUUCAGUGAAUCUCCAAGCAACAGAAAUAUCUGCAGCUCACCCGUGUUCCUUUUAUUUUCCCUUACAGAGAAUCUCAAAUUUUCAAUGCCGACUGAGCACUACUGUCUCAGCCAAUGAAAACACUGGCUUCCAAACUUUGGGUCCAACAAUCUAUUCAGUCCUCAGAGGUUCUGGAUACUGGGUCUUAUACAAUGGACAACAGACAGAGAGGGCUUCGUGUUCUUUAAAACUUGGGGAGGAGUUUGAAAACACUGCUGUUUACCCAGGCAUUCGAGAGCUGAAGGACAGUGCUCCUGGCAACUGCGAAAUCACUGGAUGAGAGAAUGUUUUUAACUGUAGCAGUUUUCAAAAUGCUUUAAAAAAUGUAUUGUUGUGGAUGUGGCUUGCUGCCAUGGGCUCCUUUAGGAGGGAGGAUGGGAUAUUAAUAAAUAAGUAUAAAAUAGUAACCAAGCCCAUAAGACCAGGCAAAGGUAACUUGGCAUCUUUAGGCAAGGACUUAUGUUAACACCACAUGCUCCCCAACAGCUUUGGAGCAGGGAUUAUGUGCUGAUCUGCAAAGAUGAAAAGCACUUUAGCAGCUGACAGCGAGACACCAGCCAGCACCUACCACAUAGCUCUAACAACCUCUUUGUGCAAGGAGACAAUGCUUUUCCUGGGCUCAUCAUAAGUCUGCGCUCAAUCAUUUAAAAAUGACAUAGACCAAAACACACUUUUAUGCGACAGGACAGUGACUGCACAGUCAGUAUGGGAUGAGCUUUUAGAAUUCACGGCUCUGAGCCCAGUUCCUGGAAGGAAUGGAUCUGAGGCAAAACCAAACAUUUGAGCAUAAAAUACAAAACAAAACAUGAAGAAAGCCACCGAUAACUUGCUGAGAUGGCUCCCCCCAAACCCUGGAAGUAUGGCAAUUCCAGCACAUAGCCCAGCCUUCCUCAAUUUAGCCUGGUGCCUUCCAGAUGUUUUGGAGUGAAUUCCCAUCAGCCCCUGCCAGUUUAUAUAAUCCAAAA